UUGAACGCUGGCGGCAGGCCUAACACAUGCAAGUCGCACGGUAACAGGAAGCAGCUUGCUGCUUUGCUGACGAGUGGCGGACGGGUGAGUAAUGUCUGGGAAACUGCCCGAUGGAGGGGGAUAACUACUGGAAACGGUAGCUAAUACCGCAUAACGUCGCAAGACCAAAGAGGGGGACCUUAGGGCCUCUUGCCAUCGGAUGUGCCCAGAUGGGAUUAGCUAGUAGGUGGGGUAACGGCUCACCUAGGCGACGAUCCCUAGCUGGUCUGAGAGGAUGACCAGCCACACUGGAACUGAGACACGGUCCAGACUCCUACGGGAGGCAGCAGUGGGGAAUAUUGCACAAUGGGCGCAAGCCUGAUGCAGCCAUGCCGCGUGUAUGAAGAAGGCCUUCGGGUUGUAAAGUACUUUCAGCGGGGAGGAAGGGAGUAAAGUUAAUACCUUUGCUCAUUGACGUUACCCGCAGAAGAAGCACCGGCUAACUCCGU
rnacentral:rRNA from 1 species